GAAUGCCACAAGUGAAGAUCUCAGCCGCUGCAAGUAGAAGACCCUGCCUGUGGCAACGAAGACCUGGCACAGACAAAUUUUUUAAAAAGUGAUUGUUUGUGGAAUGAGCUACUGAACCUCUUGGGCAUGUAUUGAGAAGAGAAAGUAAUAUGGUAGAUUUAAAAUUUUCUGACAUGAUAGGUCAGUUCUGAAUGUAUGGCCUCUAAUUUCCCCUGUUUAACCUACCUACAUGGUUUCUAUCUCCUGAUUGGGUCAAAACCACUGCCCAAGGUAUUUAAAGAUUCACAAACCAGCCCCAGGCUUUCCCUCAGCUUCCUCUUCUCAGGUUUGAUUCUUCAGGCAUCCCUCCUCUCUCAUCUCUGGCCUGGCUCACCCUUCCUCUUGCCCUAGUUUACUUUUGUCAUUAAAUCCCACCCAUCCCUCACAUGUCAGAAAGGCAUCAUUUCUUCAGAAAAAUCUUUUCUAAACCUGCCAACUCUGGAUUGAAUGUCUUUCCCAAGUAGUCCCAUAACUAACUUAGUACGGAUCACUCUGUAUUGGAGUUAUCAGCUUACUUGUCUUUCUCCUCCUAAAAUAAACUCCUGGAAGGGGCAGAAUUGACAUCUUUCCCUGUUACAAGCUUAGCCCCCAGGUGGGCCCAGGCACAUGCACCCAGUUGAUACUCAUACACGUUUACUGAAUGAACACCUAAAUGACAAGGUAUUAUUUAGGGAGAUCAUCAUCAACACAGAGGUUAGUGCACAGAACACUAGAUGAUUUUCAAAUUUAAUUUUGUUGUUUAGACGUCAGAAAAAGCUUGACGGAGAAAGCAGUAUUUAUACUAAUCUUUCAAGGAUUUUAAGGAGGCAGAGAUGAGGAGUUUAGAGCAAAUGGACAGAAGAAACAAAUAUAUAGAAGAGAUCUCAUUUAUAUUCUGUACACGUGGAAAACAAUCUCAGUUUUCUGGACGGGGUCAAGUGUGUGAUGGGGAACCCAAAUGUGGCAAAGAAGUGUCAACAAGAGACUUGGGGCCAGAUCCUGAAAAGUCUCACAAUAUAUGGAGGAAGACUGAUUUUGAAAAUAACCAUAACUGGUUAUGUGGUCCAGCAGUAUCAGCAGCAACUGGGAACUUGAAGAAAGGUACUCAGGAUGUGUCUGCUUCUGUCUGUCCUCCAGCCCACCUGCCUAAGAAGACUUCUUGGGGGAUAGGACUCCUUCAUGUGAGCCAGAGUCCUGUGGCCUGUGUGACACCAAGGGGUUGAAGCAAUCAGUUGGGUAACAGUAUGAUGCAAGUUUCUGUUUCAGAAAAAUGACUAAGAUCUCCAGGUCAUUCUAAGAGAAGAAAGUUUACAAGAACUCGAACUUGUAGAUCCAGAAGGGAAAGGGCAAGAUUCCAAAAGCAGAUGGAAACCGACGAGACAGUAAUUAACGGAAUGUCUGCUGAGCGCAUACUGAACAUACCCAGACUUCCCCCUGAGCCUGAGUGGCUCUCAAAUGCCCACGCUUCUCUGGUGAAGGCAGAUCCUGGUGAUGACCAGUGAGUCCACUAAAGGAAAGUACAUUUUCAGCCUCAUCCUGUUGCAAACCAGCAGUGGCCCUUUUGGAGGAAAGCUCAUUUCCAGCUUCCUGUGUCCUUUCUUAUUCUGUUUGAAUCCCGUUUGCUUCUCUAAUCGCAGGAACGAAGGGUCACGUCACACCCGUAUGUAAUCCAGGAAGUUGCCUGGAUUACAUUCUAACGGCAUGUGGGGCUCAGGAAGUUGGGGGUGAGGAGGCGGGCAGGAUAGGCCCGGCGUCUCUUUGUGACAAAUCUGUUGGCUGUUGCUGUGUUCCCAACCAUGAGCCUCAGCUGAAUCUCUUCUGUUCUCCAGUCCCAAGUUAUUUUCCUAAAUUAAUGGCUUAGUCUUGGUGUCUGGAAAGCAAUUUGGUUGUUCGUUUGAGGUGGCUAAAGCUAUCCAGAGGAAAAAUAAAAAGUCACCAUUAGGUAAUGAAGCCAGACUAUUGGGUGUCUCAUAUCCUGGCUCCAAAUGCAGAUAGAAAAGGGGAGCCCAGAAAGGAUUUCAACAGCGGUAGCAUUGUUGGAAUAAGUGGCGGGUGCCCAUGGGGACUUAGAGGCCAGCACCUAUUUGAAUGUGUGAGAUCUGAUAUUUUAAAAAAUCAGGGAUGACUCUAUUGUCACCCCUGGUAUUUUUAAUAUGGCUGAUGUGGGGAGUUGAGAGGCUCAAUGUGGCCACAUCCCAGUUAAUUUCCUAUCACAGUGUUAUUUCCUGUUCUAGCUCUGGCUCAACAAAUAGUCACAAAUCCUAACAAAUCCUAUUCUUUUUUUUGAAGGAGUAAUGGUGCUAUUUUUAGCGAAUGUUAUGCAACCCAAUGAGUGGCAAGAUCCACUUGAUUCUGCCUCCUCACUGCCACAGUAUCUGCCCCUUUUACCUCCAUCUCGCAGACCUGUUUCAGACUCUCUGCUAUUUUUUCUUUGCUAAUGCAUUGGCCUUCCUUGUUGAUCUCUCUGUGUUUAGUCUGAAUCUGUUUCCAACUCAAUCUAUUCUUUAUACUGCUUCCAAAAGUGAGAUUUUAAAGAUACAGUGGAAAUAGGCACUGACAUUUUAAUUAUGUAAUUAAUACUCUCUGACGCCUUUCAAUGUAUAUGAAGAUACUGAUGUUGACAAGUUUCUUUUGAUGAGUGAUGUGAUGGGAAUGGAAGUGUUGAGAUCAGUUGUUCUGCAUGAGAAAGAGGAACCGAGUGACGCAGAGGAGGAGGGGAGCGUGAGGUUCCAAGAGUCAGAGGAAGUGAAAGGUCUUGAAGAAAACGUUUUCAGAGAGAGAUGGGGAUACUGCCGGCAGCCAGUGAGGGGCUGGGAGGAAUCAUGUACCCUUGAAAGUGACUCCUCUUGCAGUCUCACACAUAAGACCUUCGGUUUUUUAAGAGAUGUAUAAAUCUCUACCUGAUAAAAACAUAGCAAAAAUCCCUACUUCUUCUUAGUGUUUUGUGGAGGGGAUUAUUCUUUGCGGGGAGUUUGUAGAAGCACUGAGUUACGCGACAAAAAUGGCAAGAAUCAAACAAACCCCAAACCAAGGAAGGAUGUGGAGUCAGCCAAUCUCCAUAAUGGGCAAGCCAGUCUCUCUGCUCCUCUGAUGAAGUCUUCCAUGGAUCUGCAUUCCCCAUGGGGUGGUCAUGAGGGCCUGGCACACUUUAGCAUGGAAUACAAGAUCCUGCCUGAUCUGGUCUUUACAUACCUGUCCAGCUAUGUCUUCUAAACAACAGUUCACACACACACACACACACACACACACACACCACAGAGCACUGGGCUGUAAUUCUAGCAGACUGUCAUGAUGGUACACGCUGUUUCAUUCUGUCUACAGUGCUUCUCCCCUGCCCUUGUUUAGCUGGAAAAUGCCUCCUUCUCCUCUGUCAAGCAGACUUGGGAGCCCUCUCUUCUGGGCUCCAAAUUUGUCUUGAAGAUAUGUACUUUUAUUAUAUCAUCACACUGUUUUAUAGCUGUGUAUUUGCAUACCUGUCUCCCUGACAUGACCAUAAGCUCCUUAGAUCCAGGUUUAGUCGUAUCUCUGUAAAGGAUUUCUAGCACCCAGAAAUGGGCUAGUCUUAUGUGUGAUAAAUGCUUACGUUCUAUGGCUUGUAAGUGUUCUACAGGGAAGGUACCAUAACUAGCUGAUCAGAGAGGAAGAAAAAUUGUCAUUGUUCUCUAAAGCUUUCACAAUAUGUGUCACUUUUGUGUUCAUAAAGCCUGUUAUUAUGGUGAUCCUCAAUCAACCAUGACUCUCAGCAUUCAAGUCUUUCCAACAAUGACUCUGGGCUUAGCCAUGUGACUAGCUUUGGUCUGUAGAGAAUUGGCAUGCAUGAUGUAAAAGUGGCUGCUUGGUAAGUAUUUGCAGGUUGGGUUUGCCGACUGGGAAUGCUCUUGGUAACUGGGUGUCAUAUUAUGAGGAAGCUCAAGCAGCCAUAUGGAGAGGCCCAUGUAAAGAGGAACUGGAGCUCCUGGAUGAUGGUCUCAGCUGAGCACCCAGCUAGUGACCAUCACCCACUGAAUGAGACAUCUAGACCUCCCAGGCCCCCUCACCCCAAGUACCCCAGCCAUUGCUACAUGGGGCAGAAGAACUAUUAAUUGUGAGAAGUAGAAUUGCUGUUGU